UUGAAAGGGAAACGAUUGAAGUCAGUCGUACCUUCGGGUAAUCAGCCUUUCGGGUGCGAUUCUGUGGAGCGUGAGGAGUUAAACGCCUUCAUGCCUGCAUAUUCGUGCACUUUGGGUGUACUUGCCCGUGUGGUAGGUUAACAUCAAUUUCGGAUAUCAUAAAAUGGCUGGAGGAAUGUAGCUUCGGUCUCGUACUGAAGUGUUAUAGCCUCUGGUAGAUGUGAUGACCGGGAUUGAGGAUUGCAAGGAAUACCUUUUGGGCUACCCGCCUGAUCUCUGAAAGUUGCUCUGGUGCCGAAAGCUUGCUUACGGUUAUCAAAGUUGACGUUCAAAAGGUUAGAACGGGUUAAAUUCGUUAAGGAUGUUGACGUA
rnacentral:rRNA from 1 species